GUAGGUGAACCUGCGGAAGGAUCAUUACAGAGUACCUGCCCUUUGGGUAGAUCUCCCACCCUUGCUUAACAUACCUUUGUUGCUUUGGCGGUCCGCUCGGAUUAAUCCGACCACUGGCUCCUGAGCUGGUGUGUGGCCGCCAGAGAACUAUCAACCCUACAUACCUGUAUCGUCUGAGUAAUAUAUAAUAGUUAAAACUUUCAACAACGGAUCUCUUGGUUCUGGCAUCGAUGAAGAACGCAGCAUCUGA
rnacentral:misc_RNA from 1 species